rnacentral:rRNA from 1 species
UCAAAUGUAUGUUGUACGUAUUCUGAAAGGGAUACUUCUCGGUACAAUAUACAAGGUGCUGCAUGGUUGUCGUCAGCUCGUGCCGUGAGGUGUCGGGUAAGUCCCAUAACGAGCGCAACCCCUAUCAUUAGUUGCCAUCAGGUCAAGCUGGGGACUCUAAUGAAACUGCCUACGCAAGUAGUGAGGAAGGCGGGGAUGACGUCAAAUCAGCACGGCCCUUACGUCCAGGGCUACACACGUGCUACAAUGGCCGGUACAGAGCGCAGCGAGGCCGCGAGGCGGAGCGAAUCGCUUAAAGCCGGUCCCAGUACGGAUUGGAGUCUGCAACCCGACUCCAUGAAGUUGGAAUCGCUAGUAAUCGCGCAUCAGCAUGGCGCGGUGAAUACGUUCCCGGGCCUU